GAUGAACGCUAGCUACAGGCUUAACACAUGCAAGUCGAGGGGAAACGAUAUUGGAAGCUUGCUUCCGAUAGGCGUCGACCGGCGCACGGGUGAGUAACGCGUAUCCAACCUGCCCACCACUUGGGGAUAACCUUGCGAAAGUAAGACUAAUACCCAAUGACGUCUCUAGAAGACAUCUGAAAGAGAUUAAAGAUUUAUCGGUGAUGGAUGGGGAUGCGUCUGAUUAGCUUGUUGGCGGGGUAACGGCCCACCAAGGCGACGAUCGUUAGGGGUUCUGAGAGGAAGGUCCCCCACACUGGAACUGAGACACGGUCCAGACUCCUACGGGAGGCAGCAGUGAGGAAUAUUGGUCAAUGGUCGGAAGACUGAACCAGCCAAGUAGCGUGAAGGAUGACUGCCCUACGGGUUGUAAACUUCUUUUGUUUGGGAAUAAAAGACGCUACGUGUAGCGUUCUGCAUGUACCUUACGAAUAAGCAUCGGCUAAUUCCGUG
rnacentral:rRNA from 1 species